UUAUUUGAAACAGGAUACAACCUCGCACACCGGGUAAACAAAAGGGUAACAAAACCAAGUGGGCCUAAAAGCAGCCACCUUUAAGAAAGCGUUACAGCUCCACCACACCCAACCCAAAAUCAUUUCAACACCCAUCAACCCUUAACCCCUACUGAACCAUUUUAUACUAUUAUAAAAACUAUUAUGCUAGGACUAGUAACAAGAAUUUGCUUUUCUCCUUAAUAUAAACAUAAACCAAAACGGACCAUCCAUUGGCAAUUAACGUUAAUGAACUAAUUAUAAUAACUACUUUGCUAGAAAACUCUAUAUUUUACAACGUUAACCUUACACCAGAAUAUUAAAGGAAAGAUUAAAAGAAAAAGAAGGAACUCGGCAAAUUUCAACCCCGCCUGUUUACCAAAAACAUCGCCUCUUGAUUAACAUAAGAGGUCCAGCCUGCCCAGUGACAAUGUUCAACGGCCGCGGUACCCUAACCGUGCAAAGGUAGCAUAAUCACUUGUUCUUUAAAUGAGGACUUGUAUCAAUGGCAUCACGAGGGUUGUACUGUCUCCUUUUUCUAAUCAGUGAAACUGAUCUCCCCGUGAAGAAGCUGGGAUUUUAAU
rnacentral:rRNA from 1 species